AAACACCACGAGUUCUUGGCCUCGCUCACAUCCGCCUCCCCAGCUCCUCCACCGCUCUCCUCGGCCCCCGUGGGGUUCCAGCAGUGGCUUUGGGCUUUGCAGGACACUUCACACGGGAGCUGUGGAGGAAUUGGUGGAGGGCUACUUGCACAUGCGAUGCCAGAGGAAGAGGAUGAACCAGGGGGCAACGCCGGGGUCUCGAACCGUUGACUGAUACACAACAUGUUCCGGGAUGGAUGGAGGCUCGGUAGUCAACCCGACAUUCACGUUGUGUUUCUGCCCCACAGGCAGACGGAGCACAGGAACGAGUGCAGCGGGAUGAGGAAGCUUUACUUCUCCGUCUUCUGCCUGUUGAUCAAAGGACGUGGGAGAAAAAACACACACACACACACACUGUGAAGAAAAAGAUACAGCAAAAAAAAAAAAGCUCGGAACUUUUUCUUGAAACUUUUUCUCCUCUUUUCCCUCCUGCACUAUGUUCUUAGUCAAAUGUCUUUAUUUUGUAUCCGCAUUGACCUUCCUGCU
ensembl:lncRNA